GGGACACACGGUCACUUCAGCACAGGGCACAGUCCUGCAGUAUCUGGUAACAGUGCUGGUCCCAAGCUUCAGUGUCACUGAUGUUCCCAAACAAGGAUGUAAGUGAUGUGCAAACACCAUAGCUGCUGUGACCAGCCUCUCUGGGAGAGUUAAGAGAGUGUUCCUGCCAUUCAAACUGCCAAAGCAAGAAGCUGCAAAUGAGAUUACGCUCUGACCAAAUCAUGCUGGAACAAGUACAACAGGAGAACCAGUGCCUGAAUCAGCAACUUGCCCAUCUGACGGCUGCAUUUAUGGCACUGCAGAAAAUGGUGAGAUCAAUAUAACAGCAAUAGAGGCUGUUUGAAAGCUUGAGGCUUGGAAGCAGUUAAAACCACUGUUUGGUUUUAUAAAGUUGAGGUUUUGUACGGGCAUGUUUUCUUCUGCAUGCCUCAGAGCAUAAUUCAUUGUGUGACUAACGUAAUGCUAUUUACUUGAACGCAUUAUGAAAAGAGAGCCUGGUGUUCAGUCACAUGUAUUUUUGGAAAACUUCCAAAUGCAACAUUGCUAUAGCUGUCUUGUAGAGAUAUGCCUAGAAUAAUUCAGAGGGAAGUUUGAAAACUACAGUGGGGUGGGUUUUUUCCAUUCUAAAAGAAGCUGAAGCCUGAUAUGGUUUCAUCCUUUAAAGGGAUAUCGCUGUUCGGUUAUUUAAAACAGUGGAGGCACUUGAUCUUUUCAUGGCUGGAGGAGGGGAAAGGCUUUUGCUGUAGGCAGUAAGAUAUCUUUUGCUCUUUAUGACUGCUGUUUCAAUAAAUUGCGUUCUGGUAGAUUUCACACAGUAAUAAUAUAAUGUAUUUGUUUGGCGCCGUGUAAGCCUAUGCAAACACUGUGGCUGAAUUCUCAGUAAGUGCUUAUGGGUGCUAAUAGCUUUCAUUACCUCUUGACAUAAACAUGGGUUACAAAAUGUAUCAAGUCUGGUUACCUUGCACUGAGGGGCAGCAGUUCUCUUCCCCCUUCCAAAACAAGAGACUGGUUUCAGUCAGGUUACUGCAUGGGUAGUAUGUUCUCUGAAUUAAUUCCUUUAUCAAUAGAAUGGUUAAUAAGGAUAAAAUGUCAUCUGGGAAAAGGAAUAUGGAUACAAAAAUGGAGAGGAGGAAGUGGUGUAAUUCUUCCUUUUAUCCAAGAGAUCUGCAUCAUUCAUCUAGCAUACAGCAUUUUUGAAUAUGAAUAAAACUACCUUAUUCUUAAUGAGGAGGAUUUAAAUCGUUAUCUCCUAUUCCCAGUAAUUUUCUAUGUGCUGAACUGCUCUGGGGCCACUGUUCAUCCUCCUGAAUUUUAAAUCCCUCGAGACAUCUCCGUACUCUCAUUCUUUGUACAAAAGGUAGAUGUGACAAAACACUUCAAGGAUACUUUUCAUAAUAUAAGAGAAAUCACUCUCCGGAUGAGGUUCCCUUUUGACUGCACAGGGUGCUUAAAUGAUCCUUUGGGAGGCCUCAAGUUGAGUGAGGAGGCAUUUGUUUCCUGUUUUACCAGUCCAGUGAGGAUAGAUUCUAGCGGGGGUAGCAAAGGAUGUUGUCCUGACGUAGGCACCUAGUUUUGAUUCUUAAAGUCAGAUUGUGCAAAAAAUAUGGUUUUGUUUUGUUUUCCUUAAAAGUGGGUUAAAACAUUAAGUAUAAUUUAAAAGAUACCUUUUAUCUCAGUCUGAGCAAGAUCAAAGACAUCCUGAAAUUACACUGAUAUCUGUGGAACAAAUGAAGUGCUGCUUGUCUCUUUGGAAGUAAUAAUGCAGAUGAGAGUUUCCAAUCCUAUCAGACUGAAGCUUUCUCUCUUUGCUACCAGUAAAGUUAUGCUCAGGGUAUUGAAUCCCAGAUGAGUAUUGCUAUGCUGCACAUAUUGGAUUUCUGUAAAGAAGAAACGAAGAUGCUAAUCCUUAAACGUAUCUGUUUUAGACCAAGAUGCAUCUGGAAAACGAGAGCAAUUGAAUCCUGUGAAUGGUGGAAGGAUUGCUGGAAUCUUCUCAAACUUACUGCACCUGUACUUGUUAAUAAUUAAAUAACUCGCUCUUGAAAAAUUUCUUAAACUUUUUUGGUACAAGAUAUAUAUAUCUAUAUAUUUAGGUGACAUCCUGGGUCUAAAUAUGAGGCCUGUUAAAUCUAAGUUUUUAAAAUAUAUCUGUUUCCAGGAGUAGUCCUGCAGUAGUGUCUGCAA